rnacentral:rRNA from 1 species
UACGUAGGGUGCGAGCGUUGUCCGGAAUUAUUGGGCGUAAAGAGCUCGUAGGCGGUUUGUCGCGUCGGCCGUGAAAACUUGGGGCUUAACCCCAAGCCUGCGGUCGAUACGGGCAGACUUGAGUUCGGCAGGGGAGACUGGAAUUCCUGGUGUAGCGGUGAAAUGCGCAGAUAUCAGGAGGAACACCGGUGGCGAAGGCGGGUCUCUGGGCAUUAACUGGCGCUGAGGAGCGAAAGCAUGGGGAGCGAACAGG